CCCGCCGCCUCCCCUCUGCCUCCCUCCAGUGGGGAAAUCCCGGCUGGGUGGAUGGGGAGAAGCCUCCCCGCUCCGGAGCGCCGGGGGAUGCUGCGAGCAGCGCCGGGGCCGCCCCUGCUUCCAGAGCACAAAAAUAAUUUUUUCCAAAAACCAAAAGAACUCAAGAGCCGAGUGAGGAGGCGGGGAGGCUCCCACCGCGCCUUCGGCAGCAGCGGGGAUUUGCAGCCCCAGCUCUGCACCAUUUCUCUGGAGCACACAGGAGAGGACAUGGUCCAUCCCUCCAGCCACACCUACCUUGGUCACAAGUUGCCAGGAGGAGAUAUGGAGGAGAGCUCUGCAGUGGCUGGGUUUGCUCAGAAAGGCUCCUUUCUGUAAAGCAAGGCAGAAGAGGAGUGUGUUUGCCCCAGAGAUGCCUCAGGGAGGCAUGACACAGUGACAGAGGUGUAGCAUGGAGAAGUGCGGAGCAUAGAGAUAAUCUACAGGUCUCUGCCAGCACCUGGCUGAACCAAGAGCAGAGAACAAGACCAAAUCCACCUGAAACAGCAACUGUGGAGCCUAUUUCUCCUUUUUAUAUCAGUUUUACACUCACUUAAUUCCUUUAGAUGCUCUCAACUUCCCUGAUGCACCCCAAGGAGCGUGGAGGUAACAAGUGCUCUCUGAUAAUGCCAUGGGAAUUACAGCAGGGUCCAGCCCAGCGUGCUGGAUCUGAUCCCCUCAUGCUGUAGCAUUUCACUAGCAAGUGUCAUUUAGAUGGUUUUGGGAAAGAAUCCAGGAUUUGUUUCACAGACAGUAUUUCCUCAACAGCUCAGUGAAUAAAAAAAUAUAAAAUAGUUUGAACUAACCAUGCAAAUCUUGCUUGUCAUCUUAUGUAGAGGAACUAUAUCUAUUCUAAAGUCUGGGCCAGAGCUUUCAACUGCUGAUGGGGGAUAGUUGUGCAGACUUCAAAGGAGCUGUAUCAGCUUUUACCAAGUGGGGAUCCAGACCUUUAUUCAUGUUUUAAAAUUCAGAAACUGUGCCUAGGUAAAGCAUUUUUUCUCUAUAUUUCUAGGUAGCCAGUUUUUUAUUUUAUAGCUGUUGCCUCAGUGGCAGGAUUGUUUCUCAGUAGUCAAUGUUUAAAGGCCCUUCAAGGCUGAAGGAAUUAAAAAUGAAUAAUUUAAAGCUGGUCUAUGAUGCAUAAUUUUUAACAUAUGUUUCACAGGCCAUGUGGAACACUUUUUGACUUGUCAGUAGAUAUUUUACAAACAUGCUGUGCUGUAACCUUUUUUAUUUAAGAGUUAGAUUUGAGCCCUCCUAUGCUUUAACACAGCAGCAUGCUGGAGUCUACAAGCCAUAACAAGGAAACCAUUAUCACCAGCACUGAUCAGAAGAGAGGAGAAAUGAAGCAAUUGCAGAACUUUUUUCCUCUUACACACUCUGCUAAAACAAAUGAACUAUGGCCCUUCCAUCUUAAGAAGUCUCAUCCCAAGGUAGAGGUAGAGGAGCUGCAAUUUGUUUGCUCUAAGACUCCAAAAGAGAUGGACCUAGAUGGUGCUGGAGAAGAAGCCAUGAAACAUGUUGUCUUUGGGGCUUUUUUUUUUGAAGGAUGGCUGGAGGAUUUUUUUUGCCAACCUCCUAUUAAAUAUUGUGCUAGGAAUGCCAUCUGAGUAAUUCUUGACAGUUUUAAUAGGCAAAGCUAAUUGCUGAUAAAUAACAACCUUUUAUGGAUUUCACUUCUUGUCCCAUCCUGACUGCUUGCAACAAGAAAGGGAGGAGGCAUCUACCCUGCAGAUGCUCAAAGGCAGACUGGGUUUCAACCUUAUUGACUGGUUCCCACACUCUGCCUUGUUUUCCUGGAUUGUCCAGCUUUUCAUUUCUAUUUUAAAUUUAAAAAUUAUUAAAGUUAAAUAUUAUUAAAAAUCUUUGUAGCUAAAAAUAAAUUGGUUUGGUUAUUUCAAAAGCUUCUUCGGCCCAAACCCAAUUUCAAGUGUUUCACCGAGCUGUAAAUUGAGGCAGUGCACUGGGGAAGUGCAAGUUUGGGCUAAUGUUUGCUCCCCCCUCAUUAGCUCUCCCUUCAGUUCAUAAUCCAUCAUCUUUCAAACAAGCCAAUUGCCAUUGUGUCUAGAAGUUAAAAUAGAAAAUCAGCAUUUGGCAUGAACACAGUUGCCAAGAAGCUAUUUCUCCUUGCCUAUGUAAAUAAGUUGUCGUUCAAAAACGGUUGGCUUGCUCUAAAAGAUGUGCUAAGCACUGCACUGUGCUUCCAGUGGGAGGAAAGAGGAGAGGAUGCAGGAGUGUGGCCAAGUAAUGCCCAUCCCCAGCUUCUCCCACUCAUUCUGUUGAGUGGGACUGUUUUUGCUCUGGCCAAAAUGCCCUUGGAUAGUUCCUGUCUCAGUGAACAGGGCAGGAGUGAUUACUGACCUUGCUGGUUAUGCCCCCAGGUCAGGACCAAGCUCCACACAGGUGGUUCCCUUUAAAAGUGUUAAUCUAUAUAGUUAUAUUGGAUAAUGAUUUGUAUUUAUUUUACACCAUACAGAACAUACCUGUUGAUCAGUAUGACUAGAUGUGAAGGACAUUAAAUACUUGCAAACUUUACAGAUAUGAAUCUAAGAAGAUUGACCAUGGAUGGACUAUGCACAAUUUAUCAGAAGAGACAGAUGGUCUAUGUACCUAUUACAGAUGAAAUAUGUAUACCUACCUUACCUCCACUGAAGAGGUGCAUCCUGUUCUGUAUUCAGUUGUGUAAGAGUCACUGCCCUCAUUUUGUGUAACUUGCAACCGUAUCCCUUCAUAAUAAACUUGAUAAGCACUGUGCUAAUAAACUUGAUAAGGCUAUUUGGUGGCUGUAGACUUUGCCAUGACUUACACACAGCUUUUAUCAUGUUUGGCUUGGUCUUCUUGAUGUUUUUUUAUAUAGUUAUAUUAGCUAAUGAUUUGUAUUUAUUUUACCCCAUACAGAACACACCUGUUGAUCAGUAUGACUAGAUGUGAAAGAUAAUAAAUACUUCCAAACUUUACAGAUAUGAAUCUAAGAAGAUUAACCAUGGAUGGACUGUGCACAAUUUAUUAGUUCUGACUAGCAGAAGAGACAGAUGAUCUAUGAACAUUUGACAGGUGAAAUAUGUAUACCUACCUUACCUCCACUGAAGAGGUGCAUCCUGUUCUGUAUUCAAUUGUGUAAGAGCCACUGCCCUCAUUUUGUCUAACUUGCAAUAGUAGCCCCUAAUAAACUUGAUAAGGCUA